rnacentral:lncRNA from 1 species
UAAAAAUUAAUGGAAUGCUUAAACAAAAUAAACUUGAUUCAAAAAAUAAAUGUAGAACUGUAUAAAAGCCUAGGCUUAGAAGAUGAUAAUUUAGCAGAAUUUCUAAUUUACCUUUGUGAAAAAUCGAAAAGUUUAGAAGAAUUUUGCAAGGAUGUCUUUGAAAAUGGUGGUGAAAUUGAGCGUAAUGUACUUAAGUACAUUUAUGAUAUGAUUAUAAAACUUAGGAGUGUAAAUUAUGACAAACCAAAAGAAAUAUCUGACGAACAGAUGACUGAAACUGGUGGUUUAACAAAAGAAGAAUUAAACAGAAUAGAAAAAAAAAAUGAAAAAAUGAAAAAAUAUGCAUGCUUGAGUAUAAAAAAUGAUGACACAUUAAUUAGUCAGUUAGAUAGAGAACCGAACGAAAAAACUGAAGACGCACACAGCAGAAGCGCAAGUAUAAACCUAGACAGUAAACAAAAAGACACAUAUACAUACGAACAAAAAGAUAAAAUAUUUAGUAAAUCAAAAUAUACUGCUAAAAGUGCUAGUAACUCUUCUUAUGAUAAAAAAAAAGAGCAAAAAAAAAGAAGUAGUAAAUGGGAGGAUGCAGAUGAUAACGUCUACGGGUUCAGUCGUAGGAGCAGUCAUAAAGACAGUCAUAAUGAUAGCCAUAAGGACAGCCACAAUGAUAAUAACAUUGACAGACAUCGAAAAAAUCAUAAAAGUGAAAAAAGAAAAAAAAAUGCUAACCGUGAAUCAUCAAGAGAGUAUGAUGAAAGAGUUAGAGACUACAAGCGAGAGAGAAGAGGACAUGGACGAGAGAGUAAACAGUCGGACGAACGUACCGGGUCUGAUAACAAUUUAAAAAUUAAUAACAUUUUUAACGGGACCAUUACGAGAGUAGUUGAUUUCGGAUUGUUUGUCUCUCUUCGAACGAAAGAUGGGUAUAAAGAAGGUCUAGUACAUACAAGUGACAUAUCACGAAACAAUAAACGAUUAGCUAUUAUACAUGAAAAUUUUAAAAGUGGUGAGAAAGUUAAAGUAAAAGUAAAAGCAAUAAUUGGAAAUAAAAUACGCUUAAAUAUGUCCGAAGUAGAUCAAAAAACAGGAGCAAACUUAGUAGACGAUAAUAUACAAAUAGAAGAUAAUAAAAAUAUAAAUACUAUUUCAUUAUUUGAUAAUAUAAAUUAUGAUACUAAUUUAAUUUAUAAUAAUAACCCGAAUGACAAUAUUAUAAAUAAUAAUUAUAAAAAUAAAAAAAACGAUAAAUUAGAAAAUAUAGACAAUCUUAAAGAAGUAAGAAAAUACGAAAGUGUUAUAAAAAUGCAUAGUGAUUACGCAAAAUGGGAAAUUCAACAAUUAAUGAAAAG